AUUAUAGAUAAGACGUUUUAGGUGGUUGCCAGUGUUAUUUUAGUAUUGUUGAUAUACUAUUAUAGUAUUAAUAUUGUGAAUUAGCUUUUUUUUAUAAUAUAUUUUAAGUUUUGAUGCAGCGGGGCAGCGCCGCGGGUUUUGCCCGGGGAUGAGCCCGCGAGAGUGGAAGAGUUCCGGAGAACAUCUGCGCUGGGUGUCGAUUAGGGUGAUCAUACGUCCUCUUUUCCCCGGUCAUGUCCUCUUUUUGGACCUAAAAAAAUGCGUCCAGCCGGGAUUUUUAAAUCGUACAAAAUGUCCGGAAUUCAGCUUUUGCUUUCUACAGUCAGCAUUCAUUGUGUGCGGUUUUGUAUUAGAGCCAUGUGCAGGGCUGUUUUCUGAAUCCCGCUUCAGCUGAAUUUCACACAAACAUUAUAAUAUUGCAUAUCAUUUUCGCGCAUCAGAGAGCCGCUAUUGUAUACGGAGUAUUUAAAUCUCUUCUGAAUGAGCAGCGCUCGCUGUUCACUUUCACUUUCGAUUUCGCGAUCACGCGCACUCUGUUAUACAGGGAGCACAUCUUACAUCUUCAAAUUAGCUGGGUCCCAGUUGGGCCCCAGAUAUCCCCAGUUGCGACCCCUCCCCUAUGGGCCUCACAUGGGUGUGUUGGCUGGGUAAUAUCUGCCUCCUGCAGCUUGUGUUGAAUGCAGGGUUGCCAAAUUCGCGUUUUUCCCCCACAUAAUUGGGCUACUUUUAAACUGUUGCAGCGUGUUUAUUUCCCCCCUGGGAUAAAUGUUUGAAAUAUUGCAUAAAAUGCAUUUGACUGAAAUGUUUGUAUUGAAACAUUUUGCAUUCUACCUAUGAUAAAACUGUGCAAGAUGUUAAGUUUUGUGAAGGAUGGCCACUGUUUGGGCGCCUUUUAGCUGUGUUUAUGAUCAAUCUGCAUAAGGGUGACUGUAAAAUAUUUUCGGUAAGGAAAUUACAUAUUUUGAGUUUUGAUAUGGUUUAUGGUCAUUGGGCUACUUUGGGGUCUUUUUAACCCACUUACCAGCAAGCAAGGUAAAAAUAUAUGUACGUUUGUCUGUGUGUUUGUGUCAAGAUUUUUGCACACCAGUUUAACCUACCUAGUAACAUUUACCCGUCAACAUGGCAGUAACAAACUUUACUAUGGUAAACUGCACUGUCGUUUCAAACGACUUUUGUCAGCUUAUUGAAUUAAGUUACCAAAUUAAAAUUAUUUUUAACGAGCAACGAGCAAUUUUUAAAGGUUAACUAAUGUGAAAUUUUGUUCAGGUGUUAGUAGUUAAUGUUGGCCAGUAGCCUAUUGAGAAAAUAAAAUCAAGUUAAACUAGUUUUAUGGUUAGCUGCCUUUCUAGUUUUACAAUUAGUUUGUUAUAGUUUUUAAUGCAAUUUAAGAUUUACUGCAUUCUUUUGUAUUUGUGUUUUAAAGGCAACUGCAAUGAAGCAUCAACAAGGACAUGUGCGUGCCAGCCACCCUGAGACUGAUAAUUCAUGAGAAGACAUUUCUGUCACUAACAAAGUGGACGGUGAGGAAAGAUGGUGGCCACGUUUUGGAGCAGCACCUGGGUUUAGCAGAUAGCUAUGUAUUCUUUGGCUGUUUGUCUAUUAUGUUUCUGUUGCCUAAAGAUUCUUUGUGAGGAUGAAUCCAGAGGAUACAACUUAAUGCACUGCAAAACGUCCUAAGACGGGAGAAAUGGUGAAGGUGCACUGUUCCAGCGCUGGAAGACUGUAAUUUUUAGUGUUAUACAAUGCUUUAAAUUAAGAAUGUGAUAUUUUGUAAUUAUUGUGUCUGUUUUAAUUGAAUGUACCUAUGUAGAGUAAAACUAAAAUGAAUUCUAUAUAAAAAUAAAAUCUAAUGAAAUCUAUAUUAAAAUGAAUGAAUUACAGUAGUAUACUGAUGAACUGGUGAAUUUACUGUAAAACAGUACAGUUUGCAACUGUAAAUCAAAUACAGUUUGCAACUGUAAAUCAAAUACAGUUUGCUACUGUAAAUCUUUAUUACAGUAACCUACUGGCAACAGUAAAAAACCCUUUGAAAUGU